rnacentral:rRNA from 1 species
GCCGAAAAUACUGUAGAACUAGGGAGUGGGAGAGGUAGACGGUAUUCGGUAGGAAGGGGUAAAAUCCUUUGAUCUAUUGAGGACCACCUGUGGCGAAGGCGGUCUACCAGAACACGUUCGACGGUGAGGGAUGAAAGCUGGGGGAGCAAACCGGAUUAGAUACCCGGGUAGUCCCAGCCGUAAACGAUGCAGACUCGGUGAUGCGCUGGCUUGUGGCCAGUGCAGUGCCGCAGGGAAGCCGUUAAGUUUGCCGCCUGGGAAGUACGUACGCAAGUAUGAAACUUAAAGGAAUUGGCGGGGGAGCACCACAAGGGGUGAAGCCUGCGGUUCAAUUGGAGUCAACGCCAGAAAUCUUACCCGAAGAGACAGCAGAAUGAAGGUCAAGCUGGAGACUUUACCAGACAAGCUGAGAAGUGGUGCAUGGCCGUCGCCAGCUCGUGCCGUGAGAUGUCC